rnacentral:misc_RNA from 1 species
UCCGAGUUGACCCCGGCAGUCUCCUUAGAGUGCCCAACUGAAUGGUGGCAACUAAGGACGAGGGUUGCGCUCGUUGCGGGACUUAACCCAACACCUCACGGCACGAGCUGACGACAGCCAUGCAGCACCUGAACCGGCAGUCCCCGAAGGGAAAAUCCUAUUUCUAGGACGGUCCGCCAUUGUCUAGCCCAGGUAAGGUUCUUCGCGUUGCGUCGAAUUAAGCCGCAUGCUCCGCCGCUUGUGCGGGCCCCCGUCAAUUCCUUUGAGUUUCAGCCUUGCGGCCGUACUCCCCAGGCGGGGCACUUCAUGCGUUAGCGCCGGCACCCAGGGGGUCGCUCCCCCAAGCACCUAGUGCCCAUCGUUUACGGCGUGGACUAC